rnacentral:rRNA from 1 species
UACGAAGGGGGCAAGCGUUGCUCGGAAUCACUGGGCGUAAAGGGCGCGUAGGCGGUCGUUUAAGUCAGGGGUGAAAUCCCGAGGCUCAACCUCGGAAUUGCCUUUGAUACUGGAUGUCUCGAGUCCGGAAGAGGAGAGUGGAACUGCGAGUGUAGAGGUGAAAUUCGUAGAUAUUCGCAAGAACACCAGUGGCGAAGGCGGCUCACUGGGCCGGUUCUGACGCUGAGGCGCGAAAGCGUGGGGAGCAAACAGG